rnacentral:rRNA from 1 species
AUGGCGGCCAUGGCGUCCACCGAUCCGGCGCAGAAGCAAAAGCCGCACGCGGUGUGCGUCCCGUACCCGGCGCAGGGCCACAUCACGCCCAUGCUCAAGGUGGCCAAGCUGCUGCACGCCCGGGGCUUCCACGUCACCUUCGUCCUCACCGAGUUCAACUACGCGCGCCUCCUCAAGUCGCGCGGCACGGCCGCGUUCACCGCCUGCCCCGGCUUCGACUUCGCCGCCAUCCCGGACGGCCUGCCGCCGUCCGACCCCGACGCCACCCAGGACAUCCCCGCGCUGUGCCGCUCCACCAUGACCACCUGCCUCCCCCACCUCGGCGCCAUCCUCGCCCGCCUCAACGGCCCCGCCUCCGUCUCGCCGCCGGUCACGUGCGUCCUCUGCGACGGCGUCAUGUCGUGGGCCUACGAGGCCGCCAGGGAGAUCGGCGUGCCGUGCGCCGCGCUGUGGACGGCCAGCGCAUGCGGCUUCAUGGCGUACAACCACUACAAGCAGCUCGUCGAGGACGGGCUCGUGCCGCUCAAGGACGAGGCGCGGCUCACGGACGGGUACCUGGACACGGCCGUCGACGGCGUGCCGGGGCUGUGCGACGGCUUCCAGCUGCGCGACUUCCCGAGCUUCAUCCGCACGACGGACCGCGACGACAUCAUGCUCAACUUCCUCAUCCGCGAGUCGGCGCGUCUGACGCUGCCCGACGCCGUCAUCAUCAACUCCUUCGACGACCUCGAGAAGCCGGCGCUGGACGCCAUGCGGGCCAUCCUCCCGCCCGUCUACCCCCUCGGCCCGCUCCUCCUCCAGGUCCGCCGGCUCGUCCCCGCGGGGUCCCCCCUCGACGUCGGCGUCGGGUCCAACCUGUGGAAGGAGCAGGACGGUCUCAUCGAGUGGCUCGACGGCCGGCCGCCGCGCUCCGUCGUGUACGUGAACUACGGCAGCAUCACGGUGAUGACGAACGAGCAGAUGCUGGAGUUCGCGUGGGGGCUGGCCAACAGCGGCUACCCCUUCCUGUGGAACGUCCGGCCCGACCUCGUCAAGGGCGACGCGGCGGUGCUGCCACCGGAGUUCCAGGCCGCCAUCGAGGGCCGCGGCCUCCUCACGACGUGGUGCCCGCAGGAGGUCGUGAUCGAGCACGAGGCCGUGGGCGUGUUCCUCACGCACUCCGGGUGGAACUCCACGCUGGAGAGCCUCUGCGCCGGCGUGCCGAUGCUCAGCUGGCCCUUCUUCGCGGAGCAGCAGACCAACUGCCGGUACAAGCGCACGGAGUGGGGCGUCGGGAUGGAGAUCGGCGGCGAGGUGCGGCGGGCGGAGGUGGCGGAGAUGAUACGGGAGGCCAUGGAGGGGGACAAGGGGGAGGAGAUGCGCCACCGCGCCACGGAGUGGAAGCAGAAGGCCGCGCUGGCGACGCUGCCAGGUGGACCCUCGGAGACCAAUCUGGACGGAUUAAUUCAUGUGCUGCUGGGCAAUAAGACGGGUCAAGCCUGA